UACGUAGGGUGCAAGCGUUAAUCGGAAUUACUGGGCGUAAAGAGCGUGUAGGCGGCCAUGUAGGUCCGGUGUGAAAACUCGAGGCUUAACCUCGAGAUGUCAUCGGAAACCAUUUGGCUAGAGUCCGGAAGAGGAGAGUGGAAUUCCUGGUGUAGCGGUGAAAUGCGCAGAUAUCAGGAAGAACACCAAUGGCGAAAGCAGCUCUCUGGGACGGUACUGACGCUGAGACGCGAAAGCGUGGGGAGCGAACAGG
rnacentral:rRNA from 1 species